rnacentral:lncRNA from 1 species
UUUCAACAAAUUGAAUUUUAAGCGCAAUUUUCAGAGUUGCUAAUUUUACGCCACAAGUUGUUCAUCAUACAGGCUUAUAGCACUAAUGCCGAGUGUGUGUUUUCAUUAAUGAAGGCUCAACAGACAAAAGACCGAAAUAAACAGGAUGUGACUACAAUGGAAGCUAUACAACAAUGUAAGUGGAACCUAGAUUGUCAUUGCAAAGAAUUUUAUUAUCAAGUACUGCAAAACGGAGACCUGUCAAGAAAAGUAUUUCAUAAGUGAAAUGUGAUUAAAGGUAAGUUAUUUAAAUUUUAAAAUUGUAUCAAUUUAUUUCAUUUCAACGUAUUUUCCUGAGACCAAUCAUUUAAUGUUAAUCUCAGCAUGUUUUAGGUAUGUGUAUGCACGAAUUUAAUAGUUAUUUGAUUUUGAAUAUAAAAAUGUCCUAUAUUUGUGUUUACCAAUUCUGGUAGUCCUACGAGGAGGAGAUAAUUGAUAAUGAAAGAGCUGAGUGAAAAGCAUUAUUUCCGACGAUAUAUUCACCUGAUAAUACACGAUAUUGAUUGUAGAAUUGAGUUUCUUAAAUCGGUAGAAUUAAUUUAUAAUUCAAUAAUGUUCAGUGAUUAGCCGAGGCAUUAUAUCAAUUGAGUGGCAUGAAGAUGGAAAUGUUAUAACAAAAGAAAUUUACCGAGCCUUUAUUCGAAAUUUCACGAAAAUCAAGGUAUCUCCCAGUUCUAUUUAUCGCUGUUUAUUAUAAAUUUUGAACUAUAUCCCCUUUUAUUGGCAGCCAUUUUAUAUACUUAAAGCAAAAUAAUGCCAUGUAGUGUUUCUUUAUAUUUUAUCUUGCCCCCUUGGAUAUCUUUAUUUGAUUUUGUUUUGAGUUUUUACAAAUAUUUUAUUCAAUGUACGUACUAGAUUGUAUCUCUUGUUGUUUAAGGCCUAGGUCAUCUGUGAUAGCUCAGAUCUAUGAUCAAAAGCGUUUCAGCCGAGACUGUCUUUACUUUUGUAUGUAAGGGAUUAAAUUACUUAGUGCAAACGUCUCCGUCGUUUCUUCAGAACGAUAAGGCAUGGUUUCAGGAUGAUUUGUCUGAUGUUUCCAGUCUAGUUCUUAAUUAUCUACUGUUGUUUUUUAAAAAUCCAAGUCAACCUUGAUGGUGCAGUUCUAUGGUCAGAGACAUUCCACUUAUAACCAUCUCACCUUUAUUUUUGUUGGGAGCCUAAGACUAUAUUAUCCAAUGUUCCAUAAUUAAGGCUACAGCGUGAUAUGAGGAUGCUAUUUAAGGUUGGUCGAGCGGCCACAGUAGAUUUCUCGUUGAUUUGUAAAAUUGUCUUGGUGGUGUUGUAUUAUGGGAAGUAACAUACGGAUUCUUGGAUGAUGCCACUUGAAUUUAGUAAAAGAUUUUCAAAUUUUAAAAAAGUUUUGUUCGUUGAUAAGGCGGUGAAUUGGCUGGAUCGUUAGGGUAUCGGAUAGAACGUCAUGUGAUAUUGCUUUUGCUCUCUCUGAUCUAAGUUCAAAUUUCACCGAGAUCAACUUGGACUUUCGUCCCUUCGAGAUCGUUAAAUAAUCUACCAAGCAAGAAUUUUUUGCUGAUGUUGUUUGAAGGAAUUUUAGAGAUGGUAGUUUUAAUACUUUGUGUUUUAAUUAGUCACUUUUUCUUAGAGGUAAGAAUUCUAAAUUCGCUGGGCGACGUAUACGUAUUCACAACAGUUUUGUAAAUAAAGCACAUCAUUUUUGUACUGCAUAAACUUAUCUAACUUUAGGGGUUAUAGGAUUAUAGGUACCUGAUGGACAUGGGACUGCCAUUUUUGGAGGAACAACGUCUUUCCCAAAGAGGAAAUUUCUGCUUCAUUUAACACCACGACAGAAGAGCUAGUCCCUUGGUCAUUGUAUUCUCCUCGGAUUUGAGGACAUUUCGAUUAUUUUGGUUUUACCCGAGUUGAUGGAAUCGUGAAAGAAAGUUUCUGUUAGCUAAGCGUAUCCUAUACACAUAGUAUGAAGACGAAACAAAUACUGCUGAACUACCUGGCAAAAUAAAUAGAUAAAUUAAUAAAUGCUGGAGACAUAUUCGUGACCAACUAAAAGAAAUAACUGAGUAUUGACUAGGAAGGAAAAUAUUUAGACCGAAUUCCGUGACUUAAUAUAACUCGUGUUGCUGUAGGGAAGAACAGGAAUCUGAAGUUUGGUGUGGUCCUAGAGAAUAAAUCAUGUUCGUUAGACGAAGAGACAAUUAGGAAUAACAGAAUCCUCUUCUUGUCACUGUUUACGAAUUUCUCAAACUUAUGAAAUACACCGUAUUACUAUAGCCAACGCUGACGCUCACCUGUUCUACGCAGUGUGAUUAGUUUUUAUCAGGGAUUUAGGGAUUAAAUAACAAAGAUUUCGGAUUUUGUCGGUUUGAACGGCAGUUUUUAACAUAAUUUCUAAGUAACUAAAAUAUUUUAAACUUCGUAUACUAGUAGAAUGUGUUUAUAAAACAUCUUUUUCUCUUUGUCUUUAUUGAGAAAAUUCUAUAGUUUGUAAGAUAUUUGUUGUUUUUUUUCUUCAAUUUCAAUUUCUGCAAUUUCAACCAAUCAGUGACGUCUAUUGAGUUAAAAAGCAUUCUGUGCCGUAUGAAUAUGUCCCUCGUUUAAGAAACAGAAUGUGUUUAUUUACAUUUGUGAAGAAAAAAAGAUAUCCUUCCACCACCCUAACCUUAACCCUGACCCUAACCCUAACCCUAACUAACCCUAACCCUAAAAGAGAUUGAAAUGCAAUAGAUCGAUUCUAGGGUCAUAAUUAUGGGUGAUAAUUUCAUAUGAUCCCGCUAGAAAAAACUGCCGUUCAAACCGAAAAAACCCAAAUUUCUCUUUGGGUAUGUGGGUGUUAUUAUUGAAUCGAAACUGCUGUUAUAUUGGUAUUCGAUUUCUCAGUUCCCAGAGGGAUAGAAAGCAUACUGAAUGUAGUAUGAUUUGAACUCUGGUAGACAGUAUCGGAUAUGUAUGUAACUAAUUACUACUUUUUGUUUGUCGCUUCUACUGUUUUAGCCGCUUUAUAACCUUUAAAAAUGUUCGCAGCAACUAAAGUAAUAAAAAACAUUUAUAGCCAUUCCAGUAGCAUUAGUCUAGUAAUUUUCCAGCAUCUACACGUCAGCAGGUGGAAUGUGGAAACUUUUACACAAGGAAUAUGAUUAAAUAGAUGGUUGGCAUCUGUAAGAAAAUUAGAAUGACUUACGGCUUUCAAACAUGAAAUAACAGCAUAACUGAAGCAGGGAAAAUCGGCAGUAGGGCUGAAGAAAAGUUCUACAGAGGAGCUUCUGCCAAAUGAAUUCACAUACAAUAGAGUCUCUAAACACAAAUAGUAGAAAAAAACAUCUAUUAAUUCAGAUUAUCCAAACAAUAAGUAGAUAAAAUCUCCAUGCAUGGAGCAGAGGUGUUUGAAAUCUAAAAACAAAUCCUAAGGGAGACAAUUUCAAUUAACUGAUAGUUAUGGAAAUAAAGACUGUGUAAAUGAGAGUGACUGAGAAUAUCUUUAAAGCCAGCUCGUAACAACACACACACACACACAUAUAUAUAUAUAUAGUAGCUGUGUGGUAAAAAGCUUGCUUUCCAACCACAUGGUUCUGGGUUCAGUCCCACUGCGUGGAAAUUUGGGCAAGUGUCUUCUACUAUAUAUAUUUCUUUACUACCCACAAGGGGCUAAACACAGAGGGGACAAACAAGGACAGACAAAGGGAUUAAGUCGAUUACAUCGACCCCAGUGCGUAACUGGUACUUAAUUUAUCGACCCCGAAAGGAUGAAAGGCAAAGUCGACCUCGGCGGAAUUUGAACUCGGAACGUAACGACAGACGAAAUACGGCUACGCAGGUCGCCCGGCGUGCUAACGUUUCUGCCAGCUCAAGCCUCAGGGCAACCAAAGCCUUGUAAGUGAAUUUAGCAGACGGAAACUGAAAGAAACCCGUCGUAUAUAUAUAUGAAUAUACCUGUGUGUGUGUCUGUGUUUGUCCCCUACCCCACCGCUUGACAACUAGUGUUGGUGUGCUUAUGUCCCCAUAACUUAGCGGUUCGGGAAAAGAUAUCGAUAGAAUAAGUACCAGGUUUUAAAAAAAAGUACUGAGGUUUAUACAUUCGGCUAAAAAUUCUUCAUUGCGGUGCCAAGCAUGGCCGCAGUCUACUGACAAACAAAAACAGAUAGAAAAGUUUUAUAUAUAUAUAAAUAUAUAUAUAUAAUAAAAAAUAUAAGAGAGUGGUCACUAUGUGGCUCACUCUAGCACUAGUAAAUCCAAAAGGUUUCAACCACAAAAAUACAUGUUUCCCAUGAAAGUCAGUACGAUUGUUAGCUCACACGAACAGGGCAAAAAAAAAUAACAAAAAUACAGAUUAUUUUGGGACAAUUGUUUCGCUAUUAAUGAAUUAAAUGUAAUUUUACUCACAAAAAACUCACUUGUAGCUCCUCAGCCAAAACUAUCUGGAUGAAAUCCACUCAAUCACACGCUAGAUUUUACCAUAACGAUAAAUGCACGUGUGGUUCAAUUGAUUACAUCCGACGUUUAAAUUAGUAUCUAAUUCUCUCACCCUUAUUAAUUAAUUAUAAUUAUGCUACAUUUAUUUCUAAAUGUAGUAUUUGUUUCCGUGAAAGUUUGGCGCGCUGUUGGUAGGGGCAUUUGAAUUAUAACGUCGGAUGUAAUCAAUUGAACCACACGUGUAUUUAUCGUUAUGGUAAAAUCUAGCGUGUGAUUGAGUGGAUUUCAUCCAGAUAGUUUUGGCUGAGGAGCUACAAGUGAGUUUUUUGUGAGUAAAAUUACAUUUAAUUCAUUAAUAGCGAAACAAUUGUCCCAAAAUAAUCUGUAUUUUUGUUAUUUUUUAUUUGCCCUGUUCGUGUGAGCUAACAAUCGUACUGACUUUCAUGGGAAACAUGUAUUUUUGUGGUUGAAACCUUUUGGAUUUACUAGUGCUAGAGUGAGCCACAUAGUGACCACUCUCUUAUAUUUAUUUUUAUAAAAUAUUAUAAUAUGUUAUAAAAUAUUAUAAUAAUCCAGGUUUCUCGGGGCACUGGGCCACUUGGUGUUGAAUAGGUAUACUAUUAAAUUAGUAUCUAAUUCUCUCACCCUUAUUAAUUAAUUAUAUAUAUAUAUAUAUUAAUAUAUAUAUAUAUAUAUAUAUAUAUAUAUAUAUAUAUAUAUAUAUAUAUAUAUAUAUAUAUAUAUAUAUAUAUAUAUAUAUAUAUAUAUAUAUAUAUAUAUAUAUAUAUAUAUAUAUAUAUAUAUAUAUAUAUAUAUAUAUAUAUAUAUUUAUUAUAUAGAAGGAGCUUCUACAGGACUAGAACUGUUUCAUUCAAGAGAAAUCUUCAGGAAGCUUCAGGAGCUUCCUGAAGAUUUCUCUUGAAUGAAACAGUUCUAGUCCUGUAGAAGCUCCUUCUAUAUAAUAAAUUAAUUUUACUCUGCUAUGUAUUGAGUACCUUAUUUACUGUGGUUAACCCCGAAUCAACCCGGGACCUACAUAUAUAUAUAUAUAUAUAUAUAUAUAUAUAUAUAUAUAUAUAUAUAUUCGGUUUAAGUAAUUGAGAUUCAAGUGAAUUCUAAUGAAUUCACAUGAAUAUGGUCCCUAACUAGGAUGCACCGGAAAUCUAUAUGGUGUUAACCAUACGACAAGUGGGGUGAUUACAAAUAGGAAAAAAGCAACAAGAAUGGAUUAAUCCAUUCUUGUUGCUUUUUUCCUAUAUAUAUAUAUAUAUAUAUAUAUAUAUAUAUAUAUAUAUAUAUAUAUAGGGUUAUUCAAAAAGAGUUAACCGAUUUCCUUACGCAACAUUUCAAUAAGGAAAAGCAAUAGAGAACUCCAGCUAAGUCACAAGUAUUUACUCACAAUCAACUUGUAUUUCCUGCAUUACAAGUGUUCAAUGUGGCCACCACCUGCAGCACGCGUAACAUGAAUGCGACCAAAGAAUUUCUUCCAGACGCUUAUCUGCCUGGCCUGCGAGAUCCAAAUACCUCACCUGUGCGAUUUUUCUUGUGGGGAUAUGAUCUUAAACAUCGAAUAACAACAUCGAUCCACGCAGUUCAUCGCGACAUGCUGAUACGCGUCUGGGAGGAAUUCUCUUAUCGCAUUGGUGUUACCCUUGCUGCAGGUGGUGCCCACUUUGAAUAACCCUGUAUGUAUAUGUAUUUAUAUACACGCACUCCUGGGUGUGAGGAUAAAACUGCAUCCCUCUGCCAAGUCAUGCCGAUCUCGUGUGGCAGAGUAAGCUCAUCAAACCAGUAUGAUCUCAAGCUCAAAUUCACGGCCUCCAAUACACUCACACAUGUAUUUAUUAAUGUUUUUUUCUGAAGCGAUUUUACAUUCAAAUAGUGGAUUACAUAUUCUUCAUUACUGUUCUAUAUUUAAGAGAUGAGGAAUUUUGUACAUUAUUUACGUUUGACGGAUAUUUGUUCUCAUCUUGUUUGUGUUAACACAACGUUUCGGCCGCUAUAUCUUCCAGCCUUCAUUAUUUUGGGGAAAUUUCAAACCUGGGUUCUCAUUCCUAAGGUAUUUUCGAUGUUGUCAUCAUUAUUAUUAUCAUUAUUAUUAUUAUUAUUAUUAUUAUUAUCAUUAUCAUUAUUAUCAUUAUUAUUAUCAUUAUUAUUAUUAUCAUUAUUAUCAUUAUUAUUAUUAUUAUUAUUAUCAUUAUUAUCAUUAUUAUUAUCAUUAUUAUUAUUAUUAUUAUUAUUAUUAUUAUUAUUAUUAUUAUUAUUAUUAUUAUUAUUAUCAUUAGUCAAGUCACAUAUGCCCGUGGGCAUAUGGCGUGGUGGUUAAGAGCGUGGGCUACUAAUCCCAAGAUUCCGAGUUCGAUUCUAGGCAGUACCUGAAUAAUAACAAUAUAAAUAAUAAUAAUAGUAAUAAUAAUAAUAAUAGCAUCAAAAUGUUCCUUCGAAAUGAGAAGCCAGGUUAGAAAUUCCCUCAAGACACCUGAUUAAGGCUGGAGGGUAUAUCAACAGAAACUUGUGUUAACAACAAGCAAGAUGAGGACAAAUAUUCGUCAAAUAUAAAUAAUGUAAAAAAAAAUGUAUAUUCCUUAUUAUUUUACAAGAACGGUGUGAAUUGUGUGACAGAUGCUUCGAAGUUUCAGCCUUCUUAACUUACAUAUAUGUAUAGAAGAAAUGUAUUGACACAGAUUAUGAAUAUCCCUAAUAUGGCAGUGGGAUGGAAUACAUCAGAAGACUGUUUUCAUACUAGAAACAUACGGUAGAGACUCAAAUGUAAUACAGUGAGAAGAAAAACUUCAGUUAACUAAGUAAACAGAAAUGUUCAUCAAGGAAGUAUCCAAAAUUUAAGAACAACAAACAAAUGAAAUAACGGUAAUAAUUUCCAUAAGAUACUGGAAUAAAUAUCGUUAUAAUUUUAAAUACAACAGCAUUGCAAUAAAAACAGAAUAAACGUAGAUGUUUAAUUUAACGCUAUACUAUAUUUAUACUUUACGGAGAUGUACUUACAUAGCAAGUGACUUGAUCUGAGAUAGUGUGCUGAAACAAAAUCAAUUGCAACGUGGAAGAUGUUUGCAAGCCAUUUAAGAACACACAAAAACCGUUAGUUUCACUUCAACAUUUAAAUUUAAUUUAUGCCAAAAUAUUUUCGUCGCUUUGAAACCUCGACCGGUUCACUGACAAAACUAACUUCGUGCUGCAUCACGAAGUCUUGUCAGUGAACAGGUCACGGUUUCAAAGUGAUGAAAAUACUUUGGUACAAAAUUAAUUUAAUGUUGAAGUAAAACUAUCAGCUUUUGUGUGUUCUUAAAUGGCUCACAAACACCUUCCACGCUGCAAUUAUAUUUAUACUGUACUAUACGAUAAAACACUCUUCCUGCAUUACACCAAACCUCCCAAGUAUUCUAAGAUACAGGAAUAUCUCUCAGUUACCAUUCAUACCUUAGCCAGUCAUGUUUACAGAAUAAAAGGAUUCUUUGUGUUUCAUAUUUACGAAAAAAAAAUGGCGAUAAAAUGUAGAAUAGUUUAUUACAUCAACCGUAGUACUUGACUGCUACCUUAUUUUAUCGACCAAGCAAAGUUCACUUCUGCAGGAUUUAAACUCAGAACAUAAGAGGACGAAAGAAUGCCGCAAGACUUUACAUCCGAAGCUGUAACGGUUCUGCCAAUCAACCAUAUGUGGAGAGAGAGAGAGAGAGAGAGAGAGAGAGAGAGAGAGAGAUUGAGAGAUGAUAAUGAUCAUAAGUACAACAACAAUAACCUCAACCACAGUAUCAAAACAACGAUAAUAAUAUGAACAACACCAAUACCAUCAGUUACAACAGCAACAACAGCGAUAACACUGCUAGUAACAACAAGAAUAAACUCUGAAUUAUCUUAGUGGGCUAUGAAAGACAAAUUUGAUGACUGAAGCUGAUGACGCGCAUCGAUGGAGAAAUGCAUGCCUCCUAGGGUUCGAUGACGUCAUUCAUAGCUCAGUAAUGUGUUUUCCCGCACAUCAUUAAUAAAGAGAAUUUCUUUCUGGAGAUAAUUUCUACGGCACAAGUCCUUUCACGGACAAGUGUACACGAAUUGUACAUACUUAUAUAUUUCAACGCUGCUUCAUUCGCUUCGUGUUAGAAGAAGUUAAAACAUAUAGGUUAUUACAAAACUGCAGUAUGUUAUCUCAUAUUUAUUCCUUGGCAGAAUCGUUAGAGCAGCGGUAUUUAUUCUGAGUUCAAAUCGCACCGAGGUCAACUUUGCUUUUCAUCCCUUGGGGUCGAUGUAAUCGAUUUUUUCCACUCCUUAAAAUUGCUGACCUUAUGCCAACAUUGGAAGGAAUUUUUAAUCCAAUUUCAUAGCAUGAAAUUGUGAACUAAGUAACACUUAGCCUCUAAAUAAUCAUCCAUAUAAUUCAUUCAAGUCACAGUGUAAAGAAGCAAAGUAUUAGUUAAACAAGACUGUUAGCUCAUACUUUACUACUCGUUCUUCAUGCAGCAGGCACCCUUAGUAUCUUCCCAUUGUACUCUUCCUCUCUCCCCACUCUCUCUCUCUACAGUCAUGCAUUAUUUACACAAGCUAACGAUGUACUAGAAACAAUAAUUAUGAAGCAGCAAGUAAAUGAAAUAAAUACAAAUCUCUAUAAAUCACCUAAUUUACACAUCACCCGAAAUUAUAGCGAAAGAAUCCGGUAUUGAGAUCAAUAAAAAAAAUAUAAAUCAGUCAACGUAAACAAAAACGUAAACAAAAACACUAAUAACUAUACCGUCAUGUGAGGAGGAAUUAUGGAGAAGAAUAAUAAAAAUAACAUCAAAAGAUAUUUAACACGCAAAGAAAUGAUAAAAGUAUUGAUAGAAUAAAUACCAAUGAGCAGGAAAAAAAAAAGUAUAGUUCUAUAUAAGGUAAAAAUAAAUUUGUAAAAUAAAGGGAAAUAACCUACUUUGUUUAAUCUGCUCCCACUCAAAAAUAAACAAUACAAAAGAGACAAAUAUACAAGUGUUAAUGCAAUAAGUAGGAGCAAAAGCUCAUGAAUGCAGAAUUCGAAAGAAGAAAAAUAGAGAAAGAAUGAAAGAAAGAAAAAAAGAGAGAAAGAAGAAAAAAAGAAAAUUCGUUCAAAGAAAAAACAAGCAAAAAACAAAUAAAAAAACAAAAACUUUGGAUCCGAAAAGAAAAAUUAGAGUCUAUUCUGAAGGUUAAACAAUAAAAUUAUAGAAUCAAGAUUUUUUCAACGAAAGAAAUGCUGGAAUGUAACGAUAAUAAUAAUAAUAAUAAUAAUAAUAAUAAUAAUGAUGACGAUGAUGAUGAUGAUGAUGAUGAUGAUACUAAUAAUAAUAAUGAUAAUGAUGAUGAUGAUGAUGAUGAUGAUAAUAAUAAUGAUAAUAAUAAUAAUAAUAAUAAUAAUAAUAAUAAUAAUAAUAAUGAUAAUGAUAAUAAUGAUGAUGAUAAUAAUAAUAAUAAUAAUAAUAAUAAUAAUAAUAAUAAUAAUAAUAAUAAUAAUAAUGAUAAUGAUGAUGAUAAUAAUAAUAAUAAUGAUAAUGAUAAUGAUGAUGAUGAUGAUGAUGAUAAUAAUAAUGAUAAUGAUAAUGAUAAUGAUGAUGAUGAUGAUAAUAAUAAUAAUGAUAAUGAUAAUGAUGAUGAUGAUGAUAAUAAUAAUAAUAAUAAUAAUAAUAAUAAUAAUAAUAAUAAUAAUGAUCAUGAUGAUGAUGACGAUGAAGAUAAUAAUAAUAAUAAUAAUAAUAAUAAUAAUAAUGAUAAUGAUGAUGAUGAUGAUGACGAUAAUAAUAAUAAUAAUAAUAAUAAUAAUAAUAAUAAUAAUAAUAAUUUGGGAUGGUGUGUAAAAACAAUAAUAAAAGACAUGCAUGAAAGUGAGGAAAUUUUCACGCUAUCGACAACCCACGCAACGAAAUGGUGGAAAUAUUUAAAAUAUUCUGCUAAUUCUAUAUCCGUACAUUAGUGAAUGAUACUGGUACGGAUUUAGGUAUUAUUUGAAAGGAAAAAAAUAUAUAUGAAAGUGUGCUUUAUAUAUUAGAUUAUGAUUAUUAUUUUAAAGGUUAUUAUCUUAAAACAAUAGAAUGUUUUACAGUUUGAGAGAUUCAUUACAAAAAACUGAGCCGAAGUGAGCACAAGAUACAUAUCGACUGAGACUUGACGUUUCGCCUGACGGUUUAUUCAGCCAGACUAUAUCUAAAGAUUGCUAGAUUUUGGCUAUAUUUCGAUAACGUAUUUCUCGAAGACUUCCUUACCCACAAUGCGAGCUGCUAAUAUAAUUGCUGGUAUAUUCGUCGGAGUCGGUGUUAUUUUUGCUUUUGUUGCUGUUUUUGUUACUGUAGUGAUUUUGUUGCUUAUUCCCGCAACAGCCUUGAUUGAGCAGACAUAUUGUCAGUGACAUUCCAGAAUUGGCCAUCCCAUGUUUUAGAUUUUUUGAUACUAUGUAUUUACGAUAACAUUAUCUAAUGUGUCCUCCCCUUUUUAAGAAGGUAAGAUAUAGCAUAAGGUAGAUUUAGUUGCUACUUUUAGUUAAUUGAGCGGCUAUAUAGAGACCAAGACUCAAACCUGAAAUAUGAUUACAAAGCAUGUUGGUAAUAUGAUUGAUUAACCUUGGUCAAUGUUUCAUAUCAAAAGCGUUCGGGCAGGUGACAUCCUGUCAUGGACUUCAUUAUGUACCGCCAUUCUUUUUCAAGAAUUAAAAUAUAAUUCAAAGGAGGUUUGGUGGUUAUUGGUUUCAAAUUUUGGCACAAGGCUAGCAAUUUCCGAGGAGGGAGUAAAUCGACUACAUCGACCCCAGUACGCGACUUGUACUUAUUUUAUCGAACCCGAAAGGAUGAAAAGCAAAGUCGACUUCGACGGAAUUUGAACUCAGAACGUAAAGACAGACGAAAUGCCGCUAAGAAUUUAGCUCGGUGUCCUAACGGUUCUGCCUGCUGCCCGCUUUUGCUAUGCCCAAAACUGAACGUAUAUACAUAUUCAAAAAUUAGUAUCAGACUUUCCUCUGUAGUUUCAGACUUUUUUCUAUGCUUAAUAUUAAUUUCAAAUUUUGGCACAAUGCCAGCAAUUUCUGGUGAGUGGGUAUGUCGAUUACAUCGAUCCCGGUACGCGACUGUUACUUUUUUCAUCGACCCCGAAAGGAUGAAAGGUAAAGUCGACCUUGGAAGAAUUUGAAGUCAGAACGUAAAAACAGACGAACUGUCGCCAAGAAUUUUGCCCGCGGGCUUACGAUUCUGUCAGUACGCCGCCUUGGGUUUGGUUGUUAUUACUAGCAGUUUGAGUAUAGAGGCCAAGAUUAAUAAUGCAAGAAGGAUUAGGUGUCAAUAGUAUUAUUGUUGUUACUUAAUCUUAGGUCAGCUAUGUUUGGCGAGACAUAAUCACGAUUGCUCCAGAAGAGACCAUCACGUGUAUCUGGAGUUUCAUUAUCACCCCUCUUCUAAACAAAUAAUCAAGGACAACAGUAUGUAAUAUAUUCUUCCUUUUUGAGGGACAGUAUAUAAAUUAAUGGAAAUCUGGCUGUCAUUUUUAGCAGGCUGAGAGACAUGAGUCACCCAAAAUUAAUGUUAAAAGAAUUAACACAAAAGUGUCAGAAUAAUAUAUUUGCUGUUGUUGUUUUUUUGUUGUUGUCUAACUCUAGAUCAACCCUAGUUGGCUAGAAAAUAUGGAGGGACCAUUGUCUAUCUAGGAAUACAUUAUAUAAUGUGUUAUUCUUUUGUAAAAAAAGGUAAUCAAGAACAUAUUGUUAUGCAAUAUGUCAAUGGUUUUCAAGAAAUACAUUAUAAUUGAAGGCGAAUUUGGCUGUAACUUCUAGCCAACCAAGAAUAAUGCCAGAAGGAUUAACAGAAAAUCUGUCUGUCAGGAUAAAAUUGGUUUCAAAUUUUGAUACAAGACCAGCAUCUUAUGAGGAGGGGUAAGUCAAUUACAUCACCCUCAGAGCUCAACUGGUACUUAUUUUACCGACCUCGAAAGGAUGAAAGGCAAAGUCGACCUCGGCAGAAUUUGAACUCAGAACGUAGAAACAGACGCAAUGUCGCAAAGUAUUUUGCCCGACGUGCUAACAAUUCUGCCAGCUCGCCGUCUUGUCUGUCAGGAUAAUAUUGCUGCAAUUGUUGUGUAAUUCCAGAUUAAUGCUGGUUGAGCUGAAAAUAUUAUCAAAGUUAUUUCAUGAGAGACUGUCAAGUGUUUCUGGAAUUAUAUUAUCUAAUCUGUCUUUUCUUUUUAAAAAGGCAUGGUGUAACAUAAAGGAAAUUUGGCUGCUAUUUUUAUCAGGCUUAGACAUCAUUCAGAGUCUCCAUUGUGAUAUCGGGCCGGUAAUAUAAUCUUAUAAUGCAAACAGAAGUACAUUACUACCUACAGUAGACAGACAUGAUUGAAAAACAUCAAAGUGUGAAUAACAUUUAGUUCAGGGGAAUAUCAUUAUAAUAGGAGAGUGUAAAGACCAGCUCUCAGUAUAUAUAAAUAGAAUUAUAUUUGUAGAUUUAGUUUUGAUCUUAAUCACCAAUCUCCUCCGACUACAUGAACCAUAUAAAUGGUAUGAAACAAUAUUUAAAUGAAAAUCUAAAGAGCAGAUUCCAAGCACAGAACCCAAAAUUAGAUACGCACACAAAUACAUACGCAAACACAUUCUCAGACAUUGACACACAUAUACACACAAAUUAAUAUAAGUCUACAUACAUACAUACACUUAGACACAAAUAUACAGGAUAGGCCCAAAAAUCACGCACCAAUACAUGAUUACUAUUCGGCAUUUAGUCUGUCUGCGCGUUCUGACUUCAAAUUCCGCCGAAGUCAACUUUACCUGUCAUCUUUUCAGGGUCGAUAAAAUAAGUACCAGUUGAUUUAAUAGAAUCACCCACUUCCCCCAACUCGCUGGCCUUGUGCCAAAAUUUGAAAUCAUUAUCAUCAUUACUAUUUUCUCUUUAUCACGGGUUUUGUUGGAGCUCCUGGAGUCUUGUAUGCGUAGCUGGCUUACUACCUGCAAGCUACGGUACCAUGCUAUUCAUUCUUUUCAGCUAUCUAAUACUGUCUUGAUUAUUCUGGCUGUGGCAAGGAGACACACCUUUUGUAACAGUUCUUCUGGGCACUCUAUUCCAGUUACCUUUAUAUCCCUCUUGAUGCCUUCUGAUACUGUUCCCAGGGACCCAACAAUAAUUGGCACUAUUUUCACCUUUAUUUUUCAUAGCUGGGCUAUUUCGUACUCAAUUUUUUUUUCGUUUUCCUUCUUGACUAUUUGUGGGUCGAAGGGGCAUGCAACAUCAACUAUAUAGCAUAUGUGGUGCACCAUGUCCACCACCACUACGUCCGGUCUAUUAUGCUCUAGUACCUGAUCUGUUUGAAUUUGGAAAACCCAGAGGAUUUUGCUAGUCUCCGUCUUGCCUAUCUCUAACUCCCACUUUCCGCAAGUUUCCAGUGGAGCACUUUCGCUAUCUCGUCGUGUCGCCAAAACUUGUAAUGGUUUUGGGCAAGUCUAACGCAUUCGUUCGUGAUACGGGCAAUGGUUUCAUCCACUCUAUUGCAGAUGCGACACUGCGGAGACACUUGCUCAUUCCUUAGGUUGACCCUCCGGUUCGUGGCCAGAGCUUGGUCCUGCGUUCCCAGUAUAGGGCUAUUAUUAUUAUUACAAGCUGGACCCAUGAAAAAUUCACCGAAUAUAUUAAAAAUGUAAGUAUCUGUAAAUUGUGUGCUGAUGUCAUGAGAAAUGUAGAUUUUUCGGAACAAAUCGCCCAUGUACAAUCGCCUAAGAAAGCCUUCAUGGAUGACGUGACACUUCUAGCUACAGAUAAACAAAUCAUGCAGAAUGCCUUUUGAGAUUAGACGAACGUGUAAGGUGGUCAAGGAUGCGAUUUAGAGCAAAAAAGUCGCGUAGUCUGACAUUUGUUAAGGGAGUGCAGAAAGAAUUUAAAUUUCGAAUAUCGGAAGAAAGCAUUCCAACAGUCAAGGAAGAGCCCGUCAAGAGCUUGGGACGAGUAUACGCUGGAACAUUGUCAGAUAGAAGUCGUGGGAUUGAAAUUAUGAAACAGGCCGAGGCUGGUUAUCAGCGAUUGAUGUUUCGAAGUUACCAGGUAAAUAUAAAAUUUGGUGCUUGCAGUUCGGCCUGUACCCGCGACUUGCGUGGCCACUUUUAAUAUACGAAGUAGCAUUGUCACGAGUUGAAAAGAUCGAACAAAAAUGUAAUGUGUUCAUUAGAAAGUGGCUAGGUCUACCUCGUAUGUUGAACAGCUCAGCUCUUUAUCGUAAAAGAGGUUCGUUGCAGUUACCAAUAGCAUCAAUAGUCGAAAUAUAUAAGUUGGGGAAGAUACGGACGGUCAUGAUGCUGAGAGAAUCGAAGGAUAUGGAAAUCAGGCGUAACCCACCAGAGGUGAAAACAGCCAGGAAGUGGAAAGCAGAAGCAGAAACUGACAACAUCUUGUCUUCUCUUACACACAGAGAUAUGGUGGGAGCAACGCAGAACCAUCGGAAAGGAUUUGGUUUUGGCGCGGAUCAGUUCAGACCGUUUGCAAGCAUGAUGCCGUGUGAACGCAGAUCUGUUGUUAGCAACAGCGUCAAAACAAGAGAAGCAGAGAGAAGAGAGCUUCAUUUGAUCCGAUGUGUUCAUCAAGGUCAGAUGACGAGAUGGGAAGAACAUGUUGUUGAGAGGAAGAUAAGUUGGGAUGAGAUGUGGAAGUGGACAACAUCUCGGCUGAGUUUCCUGAUUCGUUCAUCUUAUGAUGUUUUGCCAUCACCUACGAAUCUAGUAAGAUGGAACGUCUUAGAGAAUGACGUCUGCAAAUGUGGAAAAGUCGGUACACUAAAACAUAUUCUUUCCAACUGUUCGUUAGCAUUGAACAGGUACACAUGGAUGCACAACUUGGUCCUUAAGGUUAUCUUCAAUGCUAUAAAGAAUCAAAUUCAUCUCAACAACACUGAGGAAAAAUCGUUAAAAGUACCAUCAAGAGAGUUCAUUACCUUCGUGCGACCAGGUCAGCAGAUCCGUUUCAAGAAGAAGACCAAGAAACUUCCUGAGAAAAAUGAAAAGUGGAACGACUAUUGGGAGGUAACUGCAGAUUUACCUGGGUGCCAGGUUUUCUUUCCCAUCCCAGUUUCGAAAAAACCAGAUAUUUUGAUGUGGUGUGAAAGAAAGAAAGUUUUAAAUAUAGUCGAGCUAACGGUUCCUCACGAAGAUAAUAUGGACGCCGCUCGAGCUCGAAAAUUAAACCGUUAUGAAAACCUCCUCGAGGAAUAUGAAGACGCAGGCUGGAAAGCGGAACAUUUUCCUAUCGAAGUCGGAUGUAGAGGGUUUGUAGGACACAGCGUGAGACGACUGUUGUUAUCGUUAGGCCUAACUCAUCGUAAAGUCAAUACCACCAUGACUGAUAUCCAAUCUACAGUGGAGAAGGCUAGCCAAUGGAUUUGGUUAAAAAGAGACGAUGAGCGAUGGCUAGAAGUAUAUUGAGUUCAUCAUAACCAGCUGAUCUAGCAAGCGGGGCCUCAUAUCAGUGAGGGGUCCGGUGCGCAUUGAUGCCGUCGAGAGGUAGGCCCCGAAACGGCGCGCAUUCUCUCCUGAUGACCCCAUACACUUGCUAGCUUCCGAUAUUUUAACUGGUAGCUUCCGAGCUUUUAACUGGUAGCACUUGCAUGUGCAAGUUGUUUGCAAGAUAUAUAUUGUGACAACUACAGAAUAUACAAAGAAGUAUAAAACCGAUAACUAUAUAACCCAACCAAGAUAUCUCAGUUACGCAAACGUAAACGGAAUUACUAUUUAGCCUGAAAAUGCAUCGCACAUAUUCAAAGAACGUUCUUGGUUUAGUGGUACGGAACAUUCUUCUGGUAUUCUUCUGGUAUUCACACACACACACACACACACAGUCAUUUGACGGUGGCCAUGCUGGAGCGCCACCCUUUAAUCGAAGAGAUCGACCCCUAGAUUCAUUCUCUGAAUACCUAGAGCUUCUUCUAUCAGUCUCUUCUGCCGAGCAGCUAAGUUACGGGACACAAACACACCAACAUUGGUUGUCAAACAUGGUGGUGGAUGACAAACACAGGCACACAGAAAUAUCACACAUACACACACACACACAUAUAUAUAUAUAUAUGUAUGUAUGUUUGUAUAUAUAUAUAUAUAUAUAUAUAUAUAUAUGUGACGGGCUUCUUUCAGUUUCCGUCUACCAAAUACACUCACGAGGAUUUGGUCGGCCCGAGACUAUAGUAGAAGACACCCUAAAUUAUCGAGUUGAAUUUCGUGUAGCAGCCACCUGUUGGCAACUUUUCUCCCCCAUCCAUUUAGUGGGAGAUAUCCAUUUUCUGGGCUCUUAUCACAGCUAUACACGUUCGAAAUUUGCAUAAGUUUUUGUAUGAAAACAAAAAAAAAAAAAAAAAGGAAAGGAGGUUACAUGCUUGUUUGUAGUUUGUAGAAAAAACUUUAAACGUGCCUGAAAAAAAAAACGUGGUCUUUCCCCACCAACUAAAAGACGAAGAACUAUGAAAGAAAGCGAAUAAAUACCAGGAAUGGGGUAAAGAAGAGAGAACUAGCAGUCGAUCGGUCUUGAACUCCCAGAAUAAAAACAUAAUCACCUGAAAGACUUUCCCUUUAUUCAUUACUGUCUUUCUUUCUUCUUCAUUGUUAAAAGUAAAGAAGCUAGAAAAGAUCGAUCGUAUUUCAGUCUAAUUGUCAUUGUAAAUGACUGAGGCGUUCCUGUCUCUAUCUCUGGUUCAAAUACCACAAAGUCGACUUUGCAUUUGAUCCUUUCAGGUUUGAUAAAAUAAGCACUAUUUGAGCGGUUGAUGUAUUCGACUUACCCAUCACUCCAAAAUUCGCUGAACUUAUGCCAAAAAUUGAAACCGUUAUCAAUUCCAAUAUCACUUAAUAACAGUUUUACGAUUUGAUGCAACUCAUUAAUAGUAGUUUUUGUAAUUGAAAUUAACCCUAAACAACUGAGACACAAUUUUAUUUUGUCGCUCAUUUUCAUAUCUAAUACACUCAUUUAAAUACUUUUUGCUAGCUAUAUCAGUUGAUUGAAAAGGAGAGCCAUUAGUAUUGGACGAAAUACUUAGUGGUAUUUCUACCGGUUUUAUAUUCUGAGUUCAAAUUCCGCAGAGAUAGAUUUUACCUUUCAUCCUGUCAGGUUUGAUAAAAUAAAUACUAGUUCAAUGCUAGGAUCGUUGUUAUCGAUUCACAUCUCCCCUUCAAUUGCCAGCCUUGCGCCAGUAUUUGAAACAAAUGAAUAUAAGUUAACGGGAAAGGCAACGAGCUAGCAGAGUCGUUAGCAUGUUGGACAAAAUACUUGGCAGAACUUACGUUCUGAGUUCAAACUUCGUUCGGGCCGACUUUGUCUUUCACUUUGUCUGGGUCAAUAAAAUAAGUACCAGUUGAGCACUGGGGCCGAUGCAAUCGAUUUACCACCAGCCAUUAAAUUCUGGCCUUGUGCCAAAAUCCUGAAACCAACAAAAUAUUAACUAACGGGAAAGGCCAUGAGCUGUCGGAAUCGUUAGCAUGUCGGACAAAAUCUUUAACGGUAUUUAUUCCGGCUUUAAGUUCUGUGUUGAAAUUUCGCAGAGGUUGACUUUGCCUUAAAUCCUUUUACGGUCAGUAAAAUAAGUACUAGUUGAGAUUUGGGUUCGAUGCAAUCCACUAUAGCUCUUUCUUUCACGAAAAUUUUCCAAGCUUUGUGCCCGUCGUUGAAAGGAAAAAAAAUAUUAGCUCAAAAUCACUGUUGAAUCAAACUAAAAUUGAUUACAUGUCUUCAAUUUGUUCUCUUCGUAACGAUGAAGCAAUAACAUAUUUACUAUGUGGCGUUCAUUUUGUUCUGUACUGUUGAUGAUAUAGAAAUGAAGGAUUUCUCUUCUUAGUAAGUUCUCCUAAAUAACCGACGCUACGAAUACUUACAAGGUAAGUUACAAACACCACUAAUAGCAGAUAAAAAUUGCGUUAUUGAGUUGCUAUAUAACUGUUUUAAGAGUUUCGUGUGAAUUUGAGUACAUUGCAGAAAUAUCUUUUGUGUUUAACAGAAGCUUACAUUGUUAAAUCAUUUUUGUCAGUGCACAUUGACAUAAAUCUCUAUUGCUAUCAUGUCUAAUUUCUCUCAGGCAAGUUGCAAAUUGUUGAAGUGAUGGCUAGGAAUUUUAAACUUUUUCUUGUUUUGAUCUCUAGCUUACCACGUAACUGAGUAACUUGCCUAUAAUUUCUGCAUCGGUUUAUUUUACUUCCGCACCUUAAUGUGGUCUCUAGAAAGUAAAGCCAAAUAUCCUUUAAUUCACACUCUACCGUAUUAAACAACGAGUAGUACAACGAAAAAAAACAAAACAAAAACAGUUCAUCUCGCUUUCUUUAAGAUAGCAUGUAUUACUAGAAUAACUUUGUUAAUAAAAAUGUGUCGCAAAAACACUGUCCAGGUUUAACCCUACAGGAAAUCUCUUACUAGUCGUCUUAUCAAUAGUACCUGUCUAUCAAUGUUGCUGUCAUUGACUUAAUCUUUCCGUAACACGAAUGUCAUUACAAAGUUAUUUAUUUAUAAUUAUUAAAAUACUCUGAGUUUGAAAUUAAUUUUAAGCAGCACUGAAAAUUUAUAUUAGAUUUAUAAAGAAAUCAGUUGAAAAUAUUAGCGCGUAUAUAUAUAUAUAUAUAUACUAUUUGAACAAUUCGUUCAGAUGUAAGACAAAUGGUAGCGCUGUUGAAACUAUUGUGCAUUGGGAUAAAUUAUCAAUAAUGUAAUUAAUUUCAACGAGAAGGAAAAGUUCGUCAAAUUUCCCGUUAGUGGCUCUUCUCAAUUUAUGCAUUUCAUUUAUUAGCUGCGUUGGUAAAUUGCUGCCUCAGGUUAUUUAAUCCAGUAGUAAUUAUGGUGCAUCUGUGAUUUGUUUUGCCAAUAUUGUGUGCAUAUAAUACAAUGCGUGUCAAAGUAAUUAAGAAAAUUGUGCCUAAGCGUAUAACAAAAUUUCUUCCGGUAUUUCGUAUCUAGCAGUAAACAGGCAUCUCGUUUUCAGGUCGCUAGUAAGAUAAUCUAUCUAUCUAUCUAUCUAUCUAUCUAUCUAUCUAUCUAUCUAUCUAUCUAUCUAUCUUUCUUUCUAUUUAUCUAUCUAUCUAUCUAUCUAUCUAUCUAUCUAUCUAUCUAUCUAUCUAUCUAUCUAUCUAUAUCUAUGUAUUAUUAUUAUUAUUAUUAUUAUUAUUAUUAUUAUUAUUAUUAUUAUUAUUUUUGUUGUUGUUGUUUCUGUUGUUGUUCAUAUAUAUAUGUAUAUAUAUUCUUUUAUUCUUUUAUUUCUUUCAGUCAUUUGACUGCGGCCAUGCUGGAACACCA